AACGCUGGCGGCGUUGCUUAACACAUGCAAGUCGAACGAGGUCCACUGCGUAGCAAUACAAGGGAAGACCUAGUGGCGAACGGGUGCGUAACACGUGAGGAACUUGUCCCGGUCUCUGGGAUAACAGUUGGAAACGACUGCUAAUACCGGAUGACGUCGGAAUCUCGCAUGGGAUACUGACGAAAGGGUUACUGGAUCGGGAGAGCCUCGCGGCCUAUCAGCUUGUUGGUGAGGUAACGGCUCACCAAGGCAUCGACGGGUAGCUGGUCUGAGAGGAUGAUCAGCCACACUGGGACUGAGACACGGCCCAGACUCCUACGGGAGGCAGCAGUGGGGAAUCUUGCGCAAUGGGCGAAAGCCUGACGCAGCAACGCCGCGUGCGGGAAGAAGGCCCUCGGGUUGUAAACCGCUUUCAGUAGGAACGAAAAUGACGGUACCUGCAGAAGAAGGUGCGGCCAACUACGUG
rnacentral:rRNA from 1 species